UAUUGGACAAUGGGCGAAAGCCUGAUCCAGCCAUGCCGCGUGUGUGAAGAAGGUCUUCGGAUUGUAAAGCACUUUAAGUUGGGAGGAAGGGCAGUUACCUAAUACGUGAUUGUUUUGACGUUACCGACAGAAUAAGCACCGGCUAACUCUGUGCCAGCAGCCGCGGUAAUACAGAGGGUGCAAGCGUUAACCGGAAUUACUGGGCGUAAAGCGCGCGUAGGUGGUUAGUUAAGUUGGAUGUGAAAUCCCCGGGCUCAACCUGGGAACUGCAUUCAAAACUGACUGACUAGAGUAUGGUAGAGGGUGGUGGAAUUUCCUGUGUAGCGGUGAAAUGCGUAGAUAUAGGAAGGAACACCAGUGGCGAAGGCGACCACCUGACUAUACGACACUGAGGGCGAAA
rnacentral:rRNA from 1 species